UACCGGCGGCUCGAGUGGUGACCACUUUUAUUGGGCUUAAAGCGUCCGUAGCUGGAUUGUUAAGUCUCUUGGGAAAUCCGCCGGCUUAACCGGCGGGCGUCUAAGGGAUACUGGCAAUCUAGGGACCGAGAGAGGUGAGAGGUACUCCGGGGGUAGAAGUGAAAUUCUGUAAUCCUCGGGGGACCACCUGUGGCGAAGGCGUCUCACCAGAACGGCUCCGACAGUGAGGGACGAAAGCUGGGGGAGCAAACCGGAUUAGAUACCCGGGUAGUCCCAGCCGUAAACGAUGCGCGUUAGGUGUACUGGCGACCACGAGUCGCCGGGGUGCCGAAGGGAACCGUGAAACGUGCCGCCUGGGAAGUACGGUCGCAAGGCUGAAACUUAAAGGAAUUGGCGGGGAGCACCACAACGGGUGGAGCCUGCGGUUU
rnacentral:rRNA from 1 species